UACGUAGGGGGCAAGCGUUGUCCGGAAUUAUUGGGCGUAAAGCGCGCGCAGGCGGCCUGUUAAGUCUGAUGUGAAAGCCCACGGCUCAACCGUGGAGGGCCAUUGGAAACUGGCAGGCUUGAGUGCAGGAGAGGAGAGCGGAAUUCCCGGUGUAGCGGUGAAAUGCGUAGAUAUCUGGAGGAACACCGGUGGCGAAGGCGGCAUCCUGGACCGGCAUUGACGCUGAGGCGCGAAAGCCAGGGGAGCAAACGGG
rnacentral:rRNA from 1 species